UCCCAGGGCUGAUCCAGAGCCAGGUGGGGCCUUUACUGAGACCCCCACAAAAUGCCCGACUCCGCACAGGCAUCCCGAGCUCACAUGCGUGGCCUCUGACCCCUGCUCUUUGACCUCUGACCCUUCAGAGCCCCGGCGCUGUGCUUCCUGUCGGACCCAGAGGACCCCGCUCUGGAGAGAUGCUGAAGAUGGGACCCCUCUCUGCAAUGCUUGUGGGAUCAGGUACAAGAAAUAUGGCACUCGCUGCUCCAGGUGCUGGCUGGUGCCCAGGAAAAAUGUCCAGCCCAAGAGGCUCUGUGGCAGAUGUGGAGUUUCCCUGGACCCCAUUCAGGAAGGUUAAACCCAGCUUCACCCUGCUGAGCUGCUGCUUCUGCCUCUGUUUCACCAGUGGGAGAAUGGGCAGAAGCAGCUCUCCUCGGAGGACUGGGGAAAGAGCCGGCCUGCCUCCUCUCUGCCAUCUCCAGAUUCAAGGAUCCCGGGGGAAGACCCAGGCCUCAGGUGGCAGAGCCUGCUAGGGGUCACCGGCCCCUUCUCUAGUCAGCCUUGGCCGAGGCCCCCUCAGGAGACGCUCUCAGGAAGGAUGAGCAUUGUUACAGCAGGGACAAUAAAGUGCAGAGAUACUCGGAGA
rnacentral:sRNA from 1 species